GAGAGCUUAAAACCAGCCACCCAGAACCACUCUGCCUGGAGAAAGAAGACAAUAUUUGGCAUGAUUUGCUUCAUCUACUACAGGUGACUCCGUCAGGACACCAGGAACAUGAUUGCAGUCCAGGAUACCAUACUGCAACCUCAAUCCAUCGAAUUAAACAGCAUCAAUCAUAGGGUAGGAAAGGCGCGCCAAGGCAUCGCCAAAGCCCAAGCCCGAGACUCCGGCCAAUCGAACUCGGCAGCCCCCGUCUUGGCGAUCUCGCGACUCUGGCCAUGUAGGAGCUCGGUCAAAAAUCACCUAAGAAAAAUAUGUCGUUCUUCUCUACAAGGGUUGCAUGUGGAAUCUGAGGAGAAUCUGUGCACCAGCGUCCGACUCCUUGAUGUUGCUCUGAUCAUAUUGUGUAAAUAUAUUUCUAAUAAAGCAAUCGCCCGAUGGUGUACAUGUUAGAAAUAACAAGAUGUAAUCAUCAAGUGUGAGAGAUGGCAACAUCAUGAUGGGAUGAACUAAAACCUGUCCAUGGAUUACCUUCAGUCCCACAUUCCAAUCAACAACAUUGGGCCGAGCGAGCGCGCGGGUGGCGCAAGAGGCAAUGGGCAGCCGGUGGAGAUUGAGUGGCGAGCGGCGGUGGCGAGGUCGAGCGGUUGGCACCAGCGGCGAGUAGGCAAUUACCGUGAUGGGCGAGCGGACGGG